rnacentral:lncRNA from 1 species
GUUGCCAUCCCUUUGUUUUCCCAUUCCAAACUCUAGUCUUUUGAUUUCCAUCAUCCUUACAACAUUAAACCUCCAUAAUACUUCAAGAAAAACACUCCAAAACACCAUAGAUUCCCUCAUUGUCAAGCUUGUGAGUUUUUCAGGUUUUCGAUCAAACGCUCGAUUUUUUGUCAAAUAAGGUAACGAUUCAUCUUCUCAUUAGUUUUAAAUGUUAUUUAGUCUUUAAAACAAAAUUUUUAGCCAUUAAAUUGCAUGUUUUAAAUAAAAGCCAAAAAUUGGGUCUUAAUGGUGAAUUUUGGGAUUUUGCAUAAAAAUGUGGUUUCAAAGUGUUUUCAACUUGUUUUAAUAUGUUUAGAAGGUUUCUAAACAUACUUUACGUUUCGUUAAAGAAUUCUUGAUUUUUAAUGAAUUUUUGAAAAAUAGGCAUAAAACAUGUCGAAAAAGUCGAUAUUAUAAAUUGAGUAUUUUAUUGUAGUUUAAAGGUUGGGAAUUAGUUGUAGGUGAAUUAUAAGAUGAACAAAAUUGGUUUUAGGCGAAAAGAUUGAGUAUAGACUAAGAUAUUUGAGUUUUAAGUUUGCUAUGUUAAAUGUUUCGGUUACAUGAGAACUUAGUUUUGGCUUAUGUUUUUGGAUUACUUGUGGUGAGUUCUUAGCUGAUUAUUGAAUGCAUUGUUGUGUGAAUUGUUGUGUGAAGUUUCAGAUUUGAUAAGACCUUUUACGAGUAGAGAUAAAGGCAAGGAAAAGCUGGUUUGAGCUUUCAGCUUUUCAACGAAAACGUAAUUGGUGAGUGUUUGGAAUUGCUACUCGUAGACAUGAGUCAUGUGUUAAUUGAGAAUUUAGUAGUAGUCUAAACCACUACUCUAAAUUUCGAGUGUAAUUUUUCUUGUAUCUGUACCAGAGGUGAUCAUGGAUUGGGCUACCUGGCCCGGCCCGAAGGCCCAUUUAAAAAAUAGAAUGGUUCGGGUAAAAAUGUAGGCCCAAAAUAUGGGUUUGGGCAAAAAAUGAGGCCCGAUUAGAAAACGGGCUGAGCCUCAGGUAAAAUUUUUUUGGCCCGGGCCCGACCCGGCCCGGCUCGAAUUAUAUACUAAAUAUUUUUUUUAUUUUUAAUCAUAUUCAUUUUUUUUUCAAUUUUAAUAUAACCAUUUUUAUUAUAUUUUCAAUUUAUGUAUUGAUUUAAGAAUUAUUUUAGUCUCAUUUUUUAUUUGUUUCUUAUUUUAAUAUUUGUUUUUAUAUUUUUAAAUAUAUUUGAUUUAUUAUAUUUUUAAUUUUUUUAUUUAAUGAAAUAAGCUAAAAAAAUAAUAUGGGCCGGGCCAGGCUGGGCUGGGCUUAACAAUUUUCUUUUGGGCUGGGCUUGGACAAAUUUUCAGGCUCAUAUUUCGGUUCGGGCUGGGCCGGGCCCGUGCCUAGAAAACGAGCUUAAAAUUUUUUCUGGGCUCGGCCCGAACCUGGCCCAUGAUCACCUCUAAUCUAUACUCAUUUUGUGGUUUUGUGCUUUUGUGAUUAUGAAAUUGUGCAUGGUAAUGAGAAGCUCAAACAUGUGAUAUGUGGAUAUGGUGACUGUUGUGAAAAGUGCAAAUGUAUACAUGAUAUAUAAAUUUGUUAAAUGAUAGUGAUAGUGUUUUGCAAAAGAUGUUAACAUGCAGUGAUAGUGCACGGAUAAUCAGUAAGUGAUAUGUGAUUGUUUUUCAGAUAUUUUGGCCUUGUAAUCUUGAAACUGUUGGGUAUAGUUGGCAUGCCAUAGAAUUGUGAGUACUCACCUAUACAUACAGUGAUUUUGGGGUGUUGAGGCCCUGGAAUAUGUUGGAGGGAUAAGGGAAUGUGAGCUAAGCUCCAUUCAACGGGACAUGUGAGAGGAAAUAAGGAGAGUGUUAGCUUUAUGCUACACUUUUGGGACAUGUUUGACUCUAUGAGUCUAUAUUUGGUGUGUUGGAGAUCCGUGUAUCCUAUGAGUGAUGACAAAGCUCGUUAUAUGUUUCAUAACUCAAGCGCCAAUCUAGUAUAUUAUAUGUAACUAUGUUGAACAUGUUUUAUGCUUAAUGGAGUAUGCGCUAUAUCGCCAAUCUAUCAUAUUAAAUGUAAUUGUGUGGAACAUGUUUAUGCUUAAUGGAGUAUGUGCUAUAUUGCAAAUUUAUCAUUAUAUGUGAUUUGAGAGAACUGUGAUAUAUGGUUGUUUAAGUAUGUGUGUUACAUGAUAUAUGUUUGCAUGAAUAUGUAAAUGCUAUGUAGAAGAACUAGUAGAUAAAGCAUGGUUAGGUACUCUACGACACUAGACAUAGGAUUAUUGUAAUUGUACUUAAAUGGUUUUCUUGAGGAUGCAUGAUGGUAUGUGUGUGAUGUGGUC